rnacentral:snRNA from 1 species
GUGCUGGCUUUGGCAGCACACAUACUAAAAUUGGAACGAUACAGAGAAGAUUAGCAUGGCCCCUGCCCAAGGAUGACAUGAAAAUUCAUCAAGAGUUCCAUAUUAAA